AUUGAACGCUGGCGGCAGGCCUAACACAUGCAAGUCGAGCGGAUGAAGGGAGCUUGCUCCUGGAUUCAGCGGCGGACGGGUGAGUAAUGCCUAGGAAUCUGCCUGGUAGUGGGGGAUAACGUCCGGAAACGGGCGCUAAUACCGCAUACGUCCUGAGGGAGAAAGUGGGGGAUCUUCGGACCUCACGCUAUCAGAUGAGCCUAGGUCGGAUUAGCUAGUUGGUGGGGUAAAGGCCUACCAAGGCGACGAUCCGUAACUGGUCUGAGAGGAUGAUCAGUCAUACUGGAACUGAGACACGGUCCAGACUCCUACGGGAGGCAGCAGUGGGGAAUAUUGGACAAAGGGCGAAAGCCUGAUCCAGCCAUGCCGCGUGUGUGAAGAAGGUCUUCGGAUUGUAAAGCACUUUAAGCUGGGAGGAAGGGCAGUAAGUUAAUACCUUGCUGUUUUGACGUUACCAACAGAAUAAGCACCGGCUAACUUCGUG
rnacentral:rRNA from 1 species